rnacentral:rRNA from 1 species
UGCAGUCGAACGAAGUAGCAAUACUUAGUGGCAGACGGGUGAGUAACAUGUAGGUAUCUUCCCUUUGGUGAGGAAUAACACGAGGAAACUUGUGCUAAUACCUCAUAAGUCUUUACGGAGAAAGCUUUAUGCGCCGAAGGAUGAGCCUGCAUUUGAUUAGUUUGUUGGUGGGGUAAUGGCCUACCAAGACUUUGAUCAAUAGCUGAUCUGAGAGGAUGAUCAGCCACAUUGGGACUGAGACACGGCCCAAACUCCUACGGGAGACAGCAGUAGGGAAUAUUGCACAAUGGAGGAAACUCUGAUGCAGCGAUGCCGCGUGAGUGAAGAAGGCCUUUGGGUUGUAAAGCUCUUUCGUCGGGGAAGAAAAUGACUGUACCCGAAUAAGAAGGUCCGGCUAACUUCGUGCCAGCAGCCGCGGUAAUACGAAGGGACCUAGCGUAGUUCGGAAUUACUGGGCUUAAAGAGUUCGUAGGUGGUUAAAAAAGUUGGCGGUGAAAUCCCAGAGCUUAACUCUGGAACUGCCAUCAAAACUUUUUAGCUAGAGUAUGAUAGAGGAAAGCAGAAUUUCUAGUGUAGAGGUGAAAUUCGUAGAUAUUAGAAAGAAUACCAAUUGCGAAGGCAGCUUUCUGGAUCAUUACUGACGCUGANGAACGAAAGCAUGGGUAGCGAAGAGGAUUAGAUACCCUCGUAGUCCAUGCCGUAAACGAUGUGUGUUAGACGUUGGAAAUUUAUUUUCAGUGUCGCAGCGAAAGCAUUAAACACACCGCCNGGGGAGUACGACCGCANGGUUAAAACUCAAAUGAAUUGANNGGGACCCGCACAAGUAGUGGNNCAUGNGGUUUNAUUCGA